rnacentral:rRNA from 1 species
UACAGAGGUGGCAAGCGUUGUUCGGAAUUACUGGGCGUAAAGCGCGCGUAGGUGGUUCGUUAAGUUGGAUGUGAAAUCCCCGGGCUCAACCUGGGAACUGCAUUCAAAACUGUCGAGCUAGAGUAUGGUAGAGGGUGGUGGAAUUUCCUGUGUAGCGGUGAAAUGCGUAGAUAUAGGAAGGAACACCAGUGGCGAAGGCGACCACCUGGACUGAUACUGACACUGAGGUGCGAAAGCGUGGGGAGCAAACAGG